rnacentral:lncRNA from 1 species
UCAUUCGCACAAAACACACGAUACAUACAGACGCGAAGGCCUAAUCCCAAACGACUAUUCACUCUCUUCUUCACCGCAAAGCUGCGUCUAAACUCAUGAAAUUUUGAGCGAGUGAGUCUCAAAUCCCUCCUCACGCGUUCCUCCUUCUCUCCUCAUCACCAUAUCUAACCGUUUCUGACGCGGAUUUUCUCAUUACCUUCACUCGCUCAAUUUGAAGAUAAGGCACGCGAUUGGAAGCUUCUAAGAAGGAUUUGCUGGAUGAGUGUGAGGCGCUGCAUUGAUUUCAUUCAAUCCAAGCCCCACAUUCAUCAGGAAUUCGUUCUCAAGAGGCAUUUUGGAUGGAUUUCGGAAGGGGUCAGUUUUUUUGAGAGGGGUUUUUGGAGAGAUUUUCUGAUGCGGAUUUUCUCAUUACUUUCACUCGCUCGAUUUGGAGAUAAGACACGCGAUUGGAAGCUUCUGAGAAGGAUUUUCUGGAUGAGUGUGAGGCGUUGGAUUG